rnacentral:rRNA from 1 species
AUUGAACGCUGGCGGCAUGCUUUACACAUGCAAGUCGAACGGCAGCGCGGGCUUCGGCCUGGCGGCGAGUGGCGAACGGGUGAGUAAUGCAUCGGAACGUGCCCAGUAGUGGGAGAUAGCCCGGCGAAAGCCGGAUUAAUACCGCAUACGACCUGAGGGUGAAAGCGGGGGACCGAAAGGCCUCGCGCUAUUGGAGCGGCCGAUGUCGGAUUAGCUAGUUGGUGGGGUAAAGGCUUACCAAGGCGACGAUCCGUAGCUGGUCUGAGAGGACGACCAGCCACACUGGGACUGAGACACGGCCCAGACUCCUACGGGAGGCAGCAGUGGGGAAUUUUGGACAAUGGGGGCAACCCUGAUCCAGCCAUGCCGCGUGCGGGAAGAAGGCCUUCGGGUUGUAAACCGCUUUUGUUCGGGAAGAAAUCCUCUGGGCUAAUACCCCGGGGGGAUGACGGUACCGGAAGAAUAAGCACCGGCUAACUACGUG